UUAAUUGAAGAGUUUGAUCAUGGCUCAGAUUGAACGCUGGCGGCAGGCCUAACACAUGCAAGUCGAGCGGUAACAGAGAGUAGCUUGCUACUUUGCUGACGAGCGGCGGACGGGUGAGUAAUGCUUGGGAACAUGCCUUGAGGUGGGGGACAACAGUUGGAAACGACUGCUAAUACCGCAUAAUGUCUACGGACCAAAGGGGGCUUCGGCUCUCGCCUUUAGAUUGGCCCAAGUGGGAUUAGCUAGUUGGUGAGGUAAUGGCUCACCAAGGCAACGAUCCCUAGCUGGUUUGAGAGGAUGAUCAGCCACACUGGAACUGAGACACGGUCCAGACUCCUACGGGAGGCAGCAGUGGGGAAUAUUGCACAAUGGGCGCAAGCCUGAUGCAGCCAUGCCGCGUGUGUGAAGAAGGCCUUCGGGUUGUAAAGCACUUUCAGUCAGGAGGAAAGGGUGUGAGUUAAUACCUCACAUCUGUGACGUUACUGACAGAAGAAGC
rnacentral:rRNA from 1 species